rnacentral:lncRNA from 10 species
AUUUUAAAAGAGGUAUUAAGUCUAAUUUUUUUAAAUAUACAUACAAAUUUUGGGGGCGGGGGAGAUACAUUAUGGUAUUAAACAAAGUAUCAUUUAUGUCUUCACCUUAAUUUAUGUAAAUUACAUACUGUAAUCUAAUCAAGAAUCCUGGCUGGGCUUUAGUAAACAAGCCACUAUUUAUAAACACAUUAAGGGUGAAAAACCCAACAAGCAUAGCUAGAACUUUCAUAGAGUGUUCUCUCUCAUAUAAAUUCUUAAUGGACUAUAAAGGACUUUUUAAGUGGUUUUAGAUUUGAAUUCAAUUGCUCAAAUGGGAAUAAACUAGUCAUAUUUACAAUCGUGGUGUUUAUUCAUUAUAAACCUAAACAUGAGAUCAGAAAGAAAUGGGAGCUUGUAGAACAAAAACAAACAAAACCGUAACAUUACUUGACCGUAGAGGUUUGUUCCAUCCACAUCACCUAUUCACAGAGAUUAAAAGUAUCCAGUUUGAACAUUCAUAAUUUGCUAACAAACUAGAGUGAUUUAUGUUGCUCUGAGCACAUCUAAAAAUUACAUAAGACAAGAAAACAAUGAGUUUUAAAACUCAUAAUUAUGAUCAAGAAAAUGGAAAAUUAUUAUCACUGAAUUUCAAAUGUGCUACAUGAAUUCCAUACACAGGGUUUGUUUUUGCCUACACCACCCACCAUCACUACCCCACCAACCUGGCUGAGAGUCUGAAGUCUGUAAGCAUCCAAAAUUGCUGAUGUUGACCACCACCACUGCCCCCCACCCCGAGUUCACACGUAAUAAAAUACGUCCCUCUCUCAUCCUACUUCAUGCAAUCUACUAAUCCUAUUCUUUUACUCAUGGCCUUCAAUAAUCAGGGACUGCAGCUGAUAAUUUGGGAAAUUUUCCAAUGCAGCCAAUUUGAAAAAUUACUCUAACAUUUACUUUGACCUAAGCAUAAAAACCUUUUCCAGUAACACUAACAGUACCAGGUGCUUGAGAAUGGUUGCCAUCUACACAUCCAAACUCGCCCUGUCACUGUCACUGGGUCCACCAUCACUGCAGCGCAUAGCCGUGCUCCCUCCUCCUCUGGACUAGACACAGAUGCUGCCUGUUAACACCACCCUCACCUCCAGUCUCAGCCCACCUUGUCCCCCUAAGAGUGGAUCGCAACACUUGCGUGGUUUUGAGCAUCACUUCUGACAUGCCUGACACGCCACCUCACUCUUCACAAGUGCAGCGAUUUCUGCUCAGCUAGCUCAUUUUCUAGGUUCACUCGAUACACAACAACAUCACUAAUUCCUCUCUAGCCACCAAACAUCUCUCAGCUCAUCCCAAAUAUCUGAAACACAGUAUGGGCAUCUCUCUGCCAAGCUAUUCCUUUUAACAGAUAUUAAGGCGUUAGGUUAAUCUAGCCUGAAUAAAUAUAGGUCUUUCUCUAAAACCAACACUUUGUACUAUACAUAACCUACUCUAAAACUCUCUGCUCCGUAGAAUAUGCAUUUCUUUCUCGAUUAUUACAGCAGCUUAUGCAUAUGGACAUACGUAUACAUAUGUACUUUCAUAAUUCCAUUUAUUUUCAUAUAAUUACAAAAUGUAGCAUUAGCUCUUGGAUAAGGGUACAGAAGGUGCUAAACAUAUCUACUGUUACUUCUUCAAGUCUAAAAGUCAAGGCUCUCAGAUUAUGAGUUAAAAGAAAAUUAACUUUUUUUCUUCAAAUAAUGUUGGCAUUUAGAUGCCAAAUUCUUUCCUGUUGUGUUUCCAUUUGCCCCAAUUACACAUUUUUAAAACAACGUACCAACAAUUAGAAUAAACAGAUAAUCCUAAAGUAUUAAUGUAAACAUUCAUAAAACAGAUCAGAGCAUACGGGCCACUGUAAAGGUUUUUUUUUUUUUCUGUAUAGCAUGAAUUUAUAUACAUGUAUAUAUCUGAAAAACGUUCUUUAAAAAAUUAAGUUGUACAUACUUAGCACAUCAAAAUUAAUAUAUAAAACUAUUGUUUCUUUUAAGGAAAGGAGAAAUGGUGAAGACAACGACAAAAGCAGCAAACCUAAAAGUUUCAGCUCCAUAAAAUAUAUGGUUGCCUAUUAGAAAGGAAAACCUCCAGG